UCUCAUGUAAAAAAAAAAAAAAAGAAAAAAGCACUUCCGCCCUGCACCGGAAGUCACUUCCUAGUUUCACCCAGCUUCAACAUGGUUCCUCCGGUCGCAGUGUCGCCGCUCAUCAAGACGGCCAGGUGGUCUGCUCUGCUGCUCGGCGUCUUCUAUGGCAAACAGAGGUUUGAUUACCUAAAGCCCAUCGCUGAGGAGGAGAAGAGGGUUGAGGAAGCAGAGAAGGUGAUCAGAGAGGAGCAGGAGCGUAUCUACAAAGAACUGGCUGAAGCCAAUACAGACACCAUCCUCAAAUGAAAGAUCUCUGGACCUGUGUCGUUAUGUUCCAAACUCAAUAAACACAAAGAGUAUUUUCCAUGUAAUAA